UGCCUGUGUGUCCCCGUGUCCCCAUGUCCGUCUGUCCCCAUAUCUGUGUCCGUGUGUCCCCGUGUCCGUGCGCCUGUCCUCAUGUGUCCUUGUGUCCCCAUGUCCCUGUGUCUGUGUGUCCGUCUGUCCCCAUAUCUAUGUCCCUGUGUCCGUGUGUCCCCAUGUCCCCAUGUCCGUGUGUCCCCAUGUCCGUGUGUCCCCAUGUCCCCAUGUCUGUCUGUCCCCGUAUCUGUGUCCCCAUGUCCCCGUGUCUGUGUGUCCCUAUGUCCGUGUGUCCGUGUGUCCCCGGGGGCACUACUGGGGCACCACUGUGGCACAAAUGACACUGCCGUGGCACUAUGGUGGCAGCACAGUGGCACAACUGAGCAUGUCAUGGCACAAUGGUGGCACUAUGGCAGCACUAUGGGGGUACUGUUGUGUCACAAAUGUCACUGUGGUGGCACACAUUGCACCAUGGUGGCACAAAUGACACCAUCGUGGCACUAUGGUGGCACAUGGAGCACUAUGGCGGCACUAUGGUGGCACCAUGAUGGCACCAAUGCUGUUGACGUGGCACGACGUGGCACUAGGUUGGCUCCGUGGUAGCAACGAUUUGCAGACAGUGCCGGGCGUCCCUCCUUCUCCCUCCCACACCUCUCCAUCCUUCUCCCCUCCCACCCUUUUUCCUCCCUCCUUCUCCCCUCCCACACUUCUCCCUCUCGCAUUCUCCCUCCAAUCCUUCCCUCGUCCCUCCUUCUCCUCCACCCUUCUCCCUCCCUCCCUUCUCCCUCCUGUCCUCCCCCCACCAUUCUCCCUCCAUCCCUCUCCAUCCUUUUCUCCUCCGUCCUCCUCCCUCCCACCCUUCUCUCCUCCAUCCUUCUCCCCAUC
rnacentral:lncRNA from 1 species